ACCUGCCCUAUGAAUAAUUAUUUUAAAUGGCUGCGGUAUUUUGACCGUGCAAAGGUAGCAUAAUAAUUAGUUUCUUAAUUAGGAACUGGAAUGAAUGGUUGAACGAGAAAAUUACUGUCUCAAUUUAAUUUAAUUAGAAUUUUAUUUUUAAGUAAAAAAGCUUAAAUUUUUUUAAAAGACGAGAAGACCCUAUAGAGUUUUAUAUUAGUUAUUAUAAUUGAAAAUUAAAGUAUUAUAAAUUUAAUUAUAAUUAUUAGUAUUUAAUUGGGGCGAUUAAAAAAUUUAAUUAACUUUUUUUAGAUUAAAAACAUUGAUUUAUGAAUAAAUGAUCCAUAUUUUAUGAUUAAAAGAUU
rnacentral:rRNA from 1 species